rnacentral:rRNA from 1 species
UAAUACGGAGGGGGCGAGCGUUAUUCGGAAUUAUUGGGCGUAAAGGGCGCGUAGGCGGCCCGGUAAGUCAAAGGUGAAAUCCCUCGGCUCAACUGAGGAACUGCCUUUGAAACUGUCGGGCUUGAGGCCGGGAGGGGGUAGCGGAAUUCCCAGUGUAGCGGUGAAAUGCGUAGAUAUUGGGAGGAACACCGGUGGCGAAGGCGGCUACCUGGACCGGUUCUGACGCUGAUGCGCGAAAGCGUGGGUAGCAAACAGG